UCGAGAAUCUUCGGCAAUGGACGCAAGUCUGACCGAGCGACGCCGCGUGCGGGAUGAAGGCCUUCGGGUUGUAAACCGCUGUCAGAGGGGAUGAAAUUUUGACAUAUCCUCAGAGGAAGGACGGGCUAAGUUCGUGCCAGCAGCCGCGGUAAGACGAACCGUCCAAACGUUAUUCGGAAUUACUGGGCUUAGAGGGUGCGUAGGCGGCCUGUUAAGUUGGGUGUGAAAUCCCUCGGCUCAACCGAGGAACUGCGCCCAAAACUAGCAGGCUUGAGGGAGUCAGAGGUGAGCGGAACUCAGGGUGGAGCGGUGAAAUGCGUUGAUAUCCUGGGGAACACCGGUUGCGAAAGCGGCUCACUGGGGCUCUACUGACGCUGAGGCACGAAAGCUAGGGGAGCAAACGG
rnacentral:rRNA from 1 species